rnacentral:rRNA from 1 species
UUAGAGUUUGGAUCCUGGCUCAGGAUGAACGCUGGCGGCGUGCCUAAUACAUGCAAGUCGAGCGAACAGAUAAGGAGCUUGCUCCUUUGACGUUAGCGGCGGACGGGUGAGUAACACGUGGGUAACCUACCUAUAAGACUGGGAUAACUUCGGGAAACCGGAGCUAAUACCGGAUAAUAUUUCGAACCGCAUGGUUCGAUAGUGAAAGAUGGUUUUGCUAUCACUUAUAGAUGGACCCGCGCCGUAUUAGCUAGUUGGUAAGGUAACGGCUUACCAAGGCGACGAUACGUAGCCGACCUGAGAGGGUGAUCGGCCACACUGGAACUGAGACACGGUCCAGACUCCUACGGGAGGCAGCAGUAGGGAAUCUUCCGCAAUGGGCGAAAGCCUGACGGAGCAACGCCGCGUGAGUGAUGAAGGUCUUCGGAUCGUAAAACUCUGUUAUUAGGGAAGAACAUACGUGUAAGUAACUGUGCACGUCUGAC